AGGCGCGUAGCUCAGCUGGUUAGAGCACCACCUUGACAUGGUGGGGGUCGUUGGUUCGAGUCCAAUCGCGCCU
rnacentral:tRNA from 1 species